AGUGAACGCUGGCGGUAGGCCUAACACAUGCAAGUCGAACGGCAGCACAGUAAGAGCUUGCUCUUACGGGUGGCGAGUGGCGGACGGGUGAGGAAUACAUCGGAAUCUACUUUUUCGUGGGGGAUAACGUAGGGAAACUUACGCUAAUACCGCAUACGACCUACGGGUGAAAGCAGGGGAUCUUCGGACCUUGCGCGAUUGAAUGAGCCGAUGUCGGAUUAGCUAGUUGGCGGGGUAAAGGCCCACCAAGGCGACGAUCCGUAGCUGGUCUGAGAGGAUGAUCGGCCAACUUGGAACGGAACAACGUCCCAACCCCCAACGGAGGCAGCAGUGGGGAAUAUUUGGCAAAGGGGGGAAGCCUGAACCAACCCAACCCGGGGGGUGAAAAAAGCCUUCGGGUUUGUAAGCCCCUUUGUUGGGAAAAAAAAACAAGCGGUUUAAACCCCGCUGUUCUUACGGGAACCAAAAAAAAAACACCGGGUAACUUCGGU
rnacentral:rRNA from 1 species